UACGGAGGGUGCAAGCAUUAAUCGGAUUUAUUGGGCGUAAAGAGCGUGUAGGCGGCUUGGUAGGUCCGCUGUGAAAACUCGAGGCUCAACCUCGAGAUGUCGGCGGAAACCACUUGGCUAGAGUCCGGAAGAGGAGAGUGGAAUUCCUGGUGUAGCGGUGAAAUGCGCAGAUAUCAGGAAGAACACCUAUGGCGAAGGCAGCUCUCUGGGACGGUACUGACGCUGAGACGCGAAAGCGUGGGGAGCGAACAGG
rnacentral:rRNA from 1 species